AUAUUGAAAUCAACAAAGACCUUUGGAGAAAACAUUUAUGUAUGUUUACAGUUUUGUAUUUUACCUGUGUUGAGAGUUCCCGGAUUAGAGCAAGAUAGUCAAAAUGAACUUCCUCAUCCUUUACUUCCUACAAUAAAUAAAUAAAUAAGUUAAUGUGACACAUAGGGUAGGUUUAUAUUAGCUCACAGAAUUUGACAAGCAUCUUUAAAUCUAGUUGACUAAUUUUUUUACUUAGUAAUACAGGUUGUUGGUGAAGGCUAAGGUCUGUGGGAAUAGGAAUAACCUUUUGACAACCUUGAGAUUCUACAUACUACACAUGCACCUUGAGCUGAUGUAUCCGGCAGUGAGACAAAGGCCAGGACAAUUAGUACGUAUACCAUGGGUGGGUUUGUACCUGGUCUCUUAGAGCUGUCAGGGUAGUGACGUGGUCAUAGCUAGAAUGUGAGAAAUGGGGAUUCAAGCCCAGUUCUGGCCUCCAACAUGCACAUUCUUCAUAAGAACUUAAUGUUAACUUUUGCCUUCCCUUUGUUUACGUUGAUGAAGGUUUUUACAUGUCCUGAAAGAGAAAGGAGCUUUUCUGUGGUCUGUACAUCACUCAAGGCAAACAUGCUGCCACGUCGGAAUUCAUGAGAGAAAACUCAUAAGAGAACAGUCUGUGGCACUGGAGAUGAAGCAAAUGUCUCCCCUGGCUGUGGCAGUCUCCUAGUGUUGGGGUUGUUGACAUCCCUGCUCCAGUUCUAGAGCAGUAAUUGUGCAGGUAAAGUGGAAGAAGUACCAAAUGACACAGCAGUUUCUACGGACAAGUUCUGAGGGAGACAGUGUGCUCAUUGUGAUAGGAUGGAUGUCUUGCCAUUUUGCAGGUACCUUUCAGAAGGGACACAGGUCCCAGCACUGACACUGCUGAGACUGCACACUAGAAAUAUUGUCACAGUGCACGCACCUCAUUCUAGUCACACAGCUUUCACUAGACCCUCCACUAGUUGAAGUGUUUUCCUCACACACACCCCAUCCUCCUGGACUUCUGCAUUCUCUACAGUUUAAACAUGUUAAAUCGUUCACCCUAAGUAUGCACAGCAAAUAAAAACCUCUUUCCAGCCCAGGCUUUCCCUCCUAAUCCCCUUUUAGCUAAGUUCCUUGAAAGAGAAGGAAACUCACCUCCUCCACAUUCUCUCUGGCUAGACUCGCUGGUGUUAGGCUUCCCUUCAGUGUGUCAGGAUCUUGGCUCUCACCUGACUUAGUUACUCACUCUGUGGCUUUAAAUACUUCUCACAUAUUUCUGUGCCGAUGACUGUUCCCAGUCAAUAAAUGGAAAAUUAUUCUUCCAGUUACUCAGACCUAAUUAAAACACUCCUUUCCCCCCCCCUACCCCAUCAGUAAUCACUGUGGGUCUUACUGUCCAGUGCUAACUAGCUGAAACCUAGACCACUGCUUCCAUGGUAUAUCCUGCCCUUCAUCCAGGGCCUUUCAAGGAUGGCCGCCUUCUUGAACUGUUUUCAGCCCUGUGCCUACCUCCCAGUGCUGUUUUGUCUCUCCUGAAAUUCUCUGUCCAGCACCAGUGCCAUCUGUUUGUUCACUCAUUGAGGGCAGGAAAAAAAAUCCCUAGGCUGCUGGUAUGAAAUUAUUCAUCUGAAUUAUUAUCUGUAAACUUUGUUGGUUGUCUCUCGAAAAAGGUUCCAGUGUUCUUACCCAAUG